ACGGGUGUAGCUCAGUGGAUCAGAGCGUUGACAUGUUAAGUCAUAUGCAUGGGUCCGAUUCCCAUCGCCCGUU
rnacentral:tRNA from 1 species